GAUUUGAGGGUGUUAAAGUUUUGUCUUAGGUUUUCUCUGAUUAUGUUUUCCAAAUUGUAUUUUUGGAUCCUGUUUCUGAUCUUUUUCCAGGUGGUGUUUUAGUUCUUUCCUUAAGUUUAGUUUCUCACGAUUCUUGUAGUCUGUUUUGAGUGCAUUUUAAGUUUAUGUUUCUUAGGUUUUAUGUCCACUCCUGCCAUAGCCUAUAAUCAGCUUCAUUUGGUCCACCUGCAGAAUACCAAUCAGUCUCACUGCUCCUCCAUUGCCAUGUCCAUAUAUGCACAGUCACUCCAUUCAUUCUCUGUGGAAACAUUCACUGGUCUCUGUCGUGCUGAGCCUUUCUGCUUUACCUGUCCAGUUGUCAUGCCUGCCUCUGUUACCACCUGCCUGAGCCAUUACUGUUCUGGUGGGGAUGUCCUUAUCCACACAGAUCAUUAAAUGGAUCCCUCGAAGCAACAGAUUUAUACACCGAGGGGAGAAAGGCAAGAUUAUGAUCUGCUUUGACAAGAGCAGGUCUAACAGUGAAAGUACAUGCAACCUUGACUUUGCAUAAUACAAAUCAAACAUCUAGUUUGACAAUUGUUGUCUCAAUUCACCCACUGCAUCCUUUGAAGGAAGUGUCUUUCAUACACUAUGUUUACAUUAUGCUGCAUUAUCUGAAGACCGCAAAGGCUUGAUGGAGUUCCAGUGGAAGAGACGUUCUAGCCUAGCUGGGCAAGACCAUCAAAAAUUUCAUGGAAAGAUGACAACCUGCUCCCACUUUUCCACGCAGACUCCAACAUGUGAUUUUAUUUUUGACAAAAGUUGACUUACCAAGGUAAAAUAGCUUUUAUAAAGCAGUGUGACUUUAAACAACAACAAUGUUAACAUUAGCUAGUUAAAAUAACCCAUGCUUCUAUCAAUUAAAGUAGCUACUCUUCUCUGCUUGGAGUUAUAGUUGGCAAAAUAAAAAUAAGGAAAUUCUGGUGUACUUAGUCUGUUUGGCUCAGAUUAGGACAUGUGGGUUUCCUGAAGUAAGACAAUGGCUGCUUAUGAGUUUUUAGGUUGAUCUAUUAUUUUAUACUUUUAAUGUCUGAUUCCUUGAACAUUUCAAGUGACAAAUUGUAUUGACUCAACUAUGAGGUCUAAACUAAGUUUGUAUUUGUAAGUGUGUGUGUGUGUUAUUUAGUAUUAUAAACUAAUUUCAUAAUUUCA